rnacentral:misc_RNA from 1 species
AACUUUUUUUAUUGUGAUGGGAUAUGGCCAGUAGUUUAGCAUCACCAUCAUUUUUAAACAUCAUGCCUGAAUAAGGAUAAGAGUUGUUUAUGGCAUUGAUUUUCAAGACGUUUUUUUGUGGUAAUCAUCUGGGAAAAGUCUUGAUUCAAAAGGAUGAAGUAAUGUAACGUUAUAAUGAAGAUAUGGACUGAUUUAGAUGAAGUUGAAUUAAUUACGUCUUUCGAUCUGCAAACCACUGCAGCCACAAUUUCCUAGUAAGAGAAAGCAAGCAGAGAUAAAAGAAUUGAAAGAGCCCAAAGCCACUAAAAAGCAGUUCAAACUCACCGAUGUGUGUAAUGGGAAUGAGGAGAGUAAUCUAGAUUUUUACCAUGGAUGCAACAUUGAAUGAUACCAUGGAGAAUAUGGAAGCAGAUUACUCUAACAAUGCUGCUACAAAGGAAAAUGAAGACAACAAGAUUUCUCCAAACUUGUAUGCAGAAGAAGCCAGACAGCGAUACAUGGGAGAAUUUAACAUUCCCCUGUCAGCCAUCAACUUUGCAUCAGAGUUGAAGGCAAUUAGAAAGUUGAACGCCCAACAUCUGGCAGAACUUUUUGCAAAUUUCAAUUCAAAUUAAAAAAAAAACAGAAUGAAACUAAACUUUCCUCCAGCGACAGCAGAAGCGAAAACUGAAGAUCCUUUUUCGACCUGGUGCAGAGGUAGAGUUCAUUGAUGGUAAUUGUACGCAUCAUGUUAUGCUUCAAUUACAAGAGCUCUGCCCGGAGAUAGAAGAAUGCAAAAGAAGAAAGGUUUUCCUGUACGAGAAGCUGUCACCGAGAGCUUUGUCAUUUCUUGGCCUAUCAAGAAAUGACGAAACUUCAACAGCUUCAGAACUUUGCAAUUUGAGGAAUUAACAGGCAUGAGAAAUGUUUUGCUGGUGAAAUAAGGAGAGACAGUUUCAACAACGUAUAUCAGCUCUUAAUGCUGUGCCGUUUACCUGCAGACAGCCUGAAAAUAUCUGAAAUAUAAAGGCUACUGCCAACACACCAGAAGAGGAACUUAACACAGCCGCGGUUGUUGAUACACCAACCACAGAGUGUACAGGGGGGAGGGGGUGUUGGAGAUAGACGAACUCCCAUACUGCAAAACGCCACUGGGGAAAAUGAUGAAAACUUUAGCAUUACUCUAAUAAAUGCAAAUUCUUUUGCGCUGAAUAAGAAAGACAUUCAACAAUUUGGCAAAAAUGAAAAACAAUUUCUUAUUUUGUCCUUUUUGUGUCAAAUAAAGAAUUUAAAAUAAUUAUUGACAAUGAAAAUGUCAACUCGUCAUCAAGAAAGUUUUUGAGUAUUACCUGCAGAACAAGAAACUCUAAACAGUGAAAUCUGUUGAACUUGGACAUGUGAAAUAAUAGCGCAAGCACAUAUUGUAUGCAUUAACUAUGUUGAAGGUUUCUUACAUAAUCUCUAAUCAACACAUUUUAAGUACCGGUAACCAAGACAUACAGAAUGGUUGGGAAAAAAGUGGUUUAUUUUCAAUGUGAUAUACCAGUUGUCAGGAGUUUACACUGAGAACUUAACGUCUGACAUUCUUGACAAGCAAUAAUUAUUGUUAAGACGUUUCUAUUUCAAUUUAAUAAAAGACAUGUAAUCUUUG